rnacentral:rRNA from 1 species
GUGAGGAAUAUUGCGCAAUGGAGGCAACUCUGACGCAGCCAUGCCGCGUGCAGGAAGAAGGCGCUACGCGUUGUAAACUGCUUUUAACCGGGAAGAAACCCCAGGACGUGUCCUGGGUUGACGGUACCGGAGGAAUAAGCACCGGCUAACUUCGUGCCAGCAGCCGCGGUAAUACGAAGGGUGCAAGCGUUAUCCGGAUUCAUUGGGUUUAAAGGGUGCAUAGGCGGAGCGUUAAGUCAGUGGUGAAAUCCUGCAGCUUAACUGUAGACUUGCCAUUGAUACUGGCGCUCUUGAGUGCGCUUGAAGUGGGCGGAAUGUGCCGUGUAGCGGUGAAAUGCUUAGAUAUGGCACAGAACACCAAUUGCGAAGGCAGCUCACUAAGGCGAUACUGACGCUGAGGCACGAAAGCGUGGGGAUCGAACAGGAUUAGAAACCCGGGUAGUCC